GGACUUCAAAUAACUCAAAAUCAAAAAGCUUCAUGCUAUACAUUGAGAUAUGCUUCACAUUUUGCAAAACCUAAUAAAUUCUUCUGCCGUACAUUUAGAUAUGCUUCUGAUUUUGCAAACCCAUUCUUUUGGUUUCCCAUUUUCAUAUGCUUCGCAUUCUGAUAUGCUUCAUACCGUACACCGAUUCUUUUCUCUAUUUCGAGAACGAUGAUGAUGAUGGCGAGAUUGAAGAAAAGAAACGUAUAUGUUCUCUCUCUCUCUAUCACAUAUGACACAUUCUCUAGAUGGUUUCAUCACAUAAUCGAUUAAUUACGUUUAUAUGAUUCGUGGAAGAAAGCACUUCAAAAAAAUAAAAAAAGAAUAAGCUUCAGUAUUUAGCAAUGCCAUCUCAACACGAUCAAUUGGGUUAUUCUUAUCACUGCAGGAGAAACCUGAAAUGCUUUUGUUGGAGUAGAACUGGUUCCAGAUUCUAUGAAGCAACAAUGGGGAAGAAGAUUCAGGUUGAUCAUUAAAUGGAGCCAAACGUGGUUGUGGUGGUGUUUUUGCUGAUGCUGCACCUGUAGCCGCUGAUGAGUCAAAGAAAGAAGAAACGAUCAAAUAGAAAGAAGAGUCGGGUGAUAUUGGUUGCUAAGAGGAGGUGAUUCGGGGGCAUUCAUGGUUGCAUCUCGAUUGGCUAUUGCACCUGCACCAGCUGCUUAUGUGUUUAGCAGAGUCAUUCGCUAGCAGAGUUUGGUAAGACAUUGCAAAAAUUGCAAGCUCUUGUUUGUCGGAAUCAAUACUUGGAGUUUAUACGUGACCAGAUGGAAAUACUCAACUUAAGUUUUAGGGGAACCCGGUUGAAGAUAUUUCCUUGGAUUUCACACUUCCUGGGUAUCCUGAUUUUGUUCUCAAAACAGAAUUAAACGUUUUAAGCAACGGGGCACCCAUGAUGUGAGAGGGGCAGAAGAGCUGGAGAUGUGGGGUUGUGAAGAUGGAAGAGAGAAAAGACACCCGCUAUAAGCUUAUAUGAAAGUUAGAGAGGCAUGUGGUUUACAUCAACAUUAGAGCUUAGAAGCACCCAUAUUAUAGAUUGAUGUAAUUAUUAUUUUUUAUAACUACCAUAUAUGUUGUGUUACAUCAACAUUAGAGCUUAGAAGCACCCAUAUUUUUAUAACGUACCAUCAUAAAUUGAUGUAGUUUUUAUUUUUUUAUAACUACCAUAAAUGCGUUUGUACA